GCGCACGCUGGCGGCCGGCUUCACCCAUGCAAGUCGCGCGGGCACUUUCGGGUGUCAGCGGCGGACGGGUGAGUAACGCGUGGGAACGUGCCCUCUGGUUCGGAAUAACUCAGGGAAACUUGAGCUAAUACCGGAUACGCCCUUUUGGGGAAAGGCUUGCUGCCGGAGGAUCGGCCCGCGUCUGAUUAGCUAGUUGGUGAGGUAACGGCUCACCAAGGCGACGAUCAGUAGCUGGUCUGAGAGGAUGAUCAGCCACACUGGGACUGAGACACGGCCCAGACUCCUACGGGAGGCAGCAGUGGGGAAUAUUGGACAAUGGGCGCAAGCCUGAUCCAGCCAUGCCGCGUGAGUGAUGAAGGCCUUAGGGUUGUAAAGCUCUUUUAUCCGGGACGAUAAUGACGGUACCGGAGGAAUAAGCCCCGGCUAACUUCGUG
rnacentral:rRNA from 1 species